rnacentral:rRNA from 1 species
UACACACCGCCCGUCACACCAUGGGAGCGGGUUCUGCCAGAAGUAGUUAGCCUAACCGCAAGGAGGGCGAUCACCACGGCAGGGUUCGUGACUGGGGUG